CUCAAGCACCUAAAAUUUAAACAAAUUUCUCGUCUGACCGAAGAAAAAUAGAAAAGUGCAAAGCAUAUUCUAAUCUAGGGUUCUUUCAUUCAAAAUCCAAUCGAAAAAGGAUUGUAAAACACAUCGACGUAGGAAGAAAAUGAUGGGAUCAACAGGAAUGUUCAAAUUUUUGAAGCCAUCAAUGAGACCUCAACCUACCGAUAUUCAAGCCGCCGUUGGUUGGGGUGUUGCUGCUGCCACUGCCGGCCUUUAUCUCGUCCAGCCAUGGGGUUGGAUCAAGAGGACUUUUAUUGACAAGCCACAGGAGGAGAAUUAACAUGGUCUCCAGUCAUCGAAACAAAACUGUACUUAGCCUUGAAUCUAAUAAUACCAACUGUCUUUACUAUUUCCUGUGUUUCAGAAUAUGAGGCUUUUUUGUGAUUCAAAUCGAAUCGAAUUUCAGAUGAUUAAUGCUGUUGAUGGCAUAAUUUUCCCAUUCGAGCUUGCACUUCUGAGUUCUGAUUUCUGAUUUUAGUCAUAUUGUGGAAUAUGGAUACUCCAA